UUGUUUCCGCUUGACUUCCACGAAAUUAUCCUGAAUUGUCUAAUGGUACAAGUGUUCGGUGUGAUGAGUGGCUUGACGGGCUGAAGGACGAGAGAGAAGUACUGCCCCCAAAUGCAGAUGUUACUUGGACAGCUGCUGGCACUGCUGCUGCGUCCUCAUGGAAUUGAAGUAACAGUGUAGUUUAAGCCUCUAAACAAUGAUCAACCAGUUCAGUGCCCGCUUCCUGAACCUUGAAUUCUUAAUGAUGGAAGAUUGUGGAAGGAGUGAGUAUCUGCAACUGUGCAUAGAAGAGGUGACUUUCCUGUCGUGAAAGAAGGUGGGGCUCUUGAAUCUGAAUCUCUUGAAUCUAGGCCACGGCCAAACCAGUCCAUCGAUUGAUACCGCCUUCUAUCAGUGCCCUCGAGCAUAAUUUACCAAAACUACUUGAAGAAUGCAAUGCAUCCGGGAUCCGAAACCUGGUAUCAAUUUCUGAUCGGAAUGCAGCUCUGCAUAGUUCCAUACAAAAUUUGGUCUUAUUCUUUUCCUUUUUCUGUGCUUUAUCUGCUUCUGCAUAAGUUCACUGGAGAAUAUGUAAUUACCAAUGAACCAUAACAACGUUACAACUGUUCUAUGUAUGUGUAACGAGUCAAUUUUGGACGCAGAAACAUUCUCAAAAUUUGAUAGAUGUGGUCAUUUAUUACAGCUUAUGGAAAUAGUCAUUGUUUAUAUAUUCUACUUGACAAUGGAGUUUCCAGGUCCAACCAGUUGUUGGUGUCAUCAUUUCCACCCAAGUCAGGGUUAUUAUUGAAGCACAUUGUGCAUGUUGGUUUGCAUAACAGCUGCUGGAUCAGGGAAUUUACAUUUGGAUGCAACCCAGAAUGUGCCUCCUAUCUUGUGUCAAACUGUCAGCCUGUGCCUUAACGUGUUUAUUUGUCAUCCUCAACAUAACAUCUGUGGAUCAAUCCACUCGUUUCCUUGUAUGUCGAUGACAACCAAAGGAUACAUCCUGAGGGGCCAGGCUUAAUGAAUACAGUUUUGGACCAAGUGAACUAUGAGUUUUCGGUAUCCAUAAGUAGCUGGAGUCAGGGUAGCACUUUCCAUGUUACAGUGAUUCCUUGUUACAUGUAAACAGCCCUUGCACAGAUGUGUGAUCAUGCUGAAUGACUUGGAUUCAGCUGUGAUUGUGCUGGUUUGUUAGGAUGGCUGUAUCCUUGUAUCUACUGCACUCUCUUUAGUGUUUGUAGAAUGCUUUUGUAGGAUGGAUCCUAAUCCAGCUGUGACCUGUGAUUUAUCAAAAACAGAGUAAAUUCUCAUUGCAUGAAAU